rnacentral:rRNA from 1 species
GACGAACGCUGGCGGCGUGCCUAAUACAUGCAAGUAGAACGCUGAAGGAAGGAGCUUGCUCUUUCUGGAUGAGUUGCGAACGGGUGAGUAACGCGUAGGUAACCUGCCUGGUAGCGGGGGAUAACUAUUGGAAACGAUAGCUAAUACCGCAUAAAAUUGAUUAUUGCAUGAUAGUCAAUUAAAAGGUGCAACUGCACCACUACCAGAUGGACCUGCGUUGUAUUAGCUAGUUGGUGGGGUAACGGCUCACCAAGGCGACGAUACAUAGCCGACCUGAGAGGGUGAUCGGCCACACUGGGACUGAGACACGGCCCAGACUCCUACGGGAGGCAGCAGUAGGGAAUCUUCGGCAAUGGACGGAAGUCUGACCGAGCAACGCCGCGUGAGUGAAGAAGGUUUUCGGAUCGUAAAGCUCUGUUGUAAGAGAAGAACGAGUGUGAGAGUGGAAAGUUCACACUGUGACGGUAUCUUACCAGAAAGGGAUGGCUAACUACGUG